rnacentral:RNase_P_RNA from 1 species
CGAGUCGGCCGGGCGGUCGCGUGUGCCUUUCGGGGCACCCGAGGAACGUCCGGGCUCCACAGGGCAGGGUGGUUGUUAACGGCAACCCGGGGUGACCCGCGGGACAGUGCCACAGAGAACAGACCGCCCCGGCCUCGGUCGGGGUAAGGGUGAAACGGUGGGGUAAGAGCCCACCAGCGCCCCAGGUGACUGGGGCGGCUAGGUAAACCCCACCCGGAGCAAGGUCAAAAGGGCCCUCGGGCCUGCGUGAGCGUUUGAGGGCUGCCCGCCCGAGCUCGCGGGUAGACCGCUAGAGCCCAUCGGCGACGGUGGGCGUAGAUGGAUGGCCGCCAGGCGGGACUUCGGUCCCGGGCUACAGAACCCGGCGUACAGGCCGACUCGUCCG